rnacentral:lncRNA from 8 species
GUUCGCUCUGUUCAUCUUUCCCUCGACCCUGACUAGUCUCCCAGUCCCUGCCACUGAAAAACAUCACCACAGCAUGAUGCAGCCACCACCAUGCUUCACCAUAGGGAUGGUGCCAUGGUUCCUUCAGAUGUGACGCUUGGCAUUCAGGCCAAAGAGUUAAAUUUUUCAUCAGACCAGAGAAUCUUGUUACUCAUGGUCUGAGAGUCUUUAGGUGCCUUUUGGCAAACUCCAAGCGGGCUGUCAUGUGCCUUUUACUGAGGAGUGGCUUCCGCCCACAUGCAGGAAUUGCGGGCCACAAUUGCACCUUCUCUGCUGGCUUCCCUUGUAUUUAAUGCUACGGGCAGCAACAUUGUCAUACUCUUUUUGACCAGACAGCAUCAGAUAGAUACACCACACAUACUGAGACAGAGGGGCACUGUUUCGCUCGCUUGGAUGCUUUCUCCAGUGAGAUACAUUCAGCCUCUUGCAAAUUGAAGAAACAUUCUGAAACACAGAGAGACUAAAGCAAAAAAAUGUGGGGAAGCCUGGCUUCCCUUGGCAUCCAUGAAUACACACCACUGAUAAUUAAUAUACUGUAGGCCUACAGUUUGCCAUACAAUGUGUGACUAUUUUUUUGAAGACCAUUAAAAAACGUGACCCGGAAGUGGUUCGUAACUAGUUUCACACAGGUUUGUUUGUAACAAUUUUGAUUUAUACAGUUCGAUAUAUACAAUAUAUCAUUCACUGUGCACAUUUUCCAUACUUUUCGCCGUAAUUGUUAAUUUACAAAGUACACAGGACGGCACUCUGAAGGAGUGCAAAAAUCCGUGACCCGGAAGUACAUCGUUAGCUGCUGGAAACAUGUUAGGUACUUGUUAGUUUUUUCAAGUUUAGUCGGGCUUCUGCUUAGCUAACCAUUUUUAUUGGGUCCACGCUAAGCUCAGCUUUCAGCCAGCUGUAGACGUGGAAAGAUGCGGGGCAUGGACAUCCUGGAGAACUUUGAGAUCUACAUCCCCAAAGAGGCAGAGGUGAAAAUCACCUCUAUUCAGACUCUGCCAACCUCCAUCUUGAGAAGGAUGGGGGUGCCCUGCUCUCGGGGUGGCAGUGCAAAGACAGGGUCCUCGCCUUCGGCCACGUGGAUCUCGCCAGUGGUCAUCCGAGAGAGAGGCUGUUCAUCGGCCAGCCCCACAGUGGACACAGCCAAGAUGAACCUGACCUCACUGGUGACCACAGAACCCAAGGCAGUCCAGGGUCCCUUCUUGAUGCCAUUCGUCUCCUCCAGCAGCAUGGCCUUCAAUGUCCUCAGGGAGUUCUUGCCCUCCAGACAGAACUUCCAGCAGGGUAUUGCCCCCGUCCCCCAUGGCCUGCCCCCUGUCCCCCACCAGGAUGCCAUCAUCAUCCACAAGGGGAGGAUCUUCCUGUCACUCAAGAAAGCAAAGACUGGCAGAGGAAAGAGGCAGCACAGCCCUGACCUGAAUAACUCGUUGUCUUCCAAGGCCCCUCAGAUCACACAGCGAAAACUGAUCUUCCUCUCACCUGCCAGGAAGAGCCAGAAGAAGUCCUGCCCCGCAUCUCCAAAGCCGUCUCCUAAAAAGCCCCAGGGGAAGUGGGCAUUGCUGCAGGGGUUCGGCCUGACCCACCAAGUCCAGGUGAAGUUGUCCAGAAUCCCCCAGGGGGACAUUGAGCCACAACAGACUGCCGAACAGGGUCACUCAGCGGAAGAGGAUCAUAACACAGAGCAAGAUCAAGUCAUACGGAAGUUAUUGAACGCCAACAGGUUGUUGAAGGAGACACCUGGCAGAUGUCCUGAACAGGAGAUGGAGUUGGUGACUCAAGAGGAAGACAAGCCUUUGAAUGAGGAGACCCAAGAAUCAUUACCAAAGACAGCAAAUCGUCACCCUUGCUCAAACGAAGGCUUUCAGGGCAGAGAUGGGAUUACCAGUGAGACAGAUGAUGAUGCUCAGGAGGAGGAGGAGCCUGAGGAAGAGGGAUGUCACAAUUUGGGUAGUGUCAAACAACGACGAGUUGAGGACAAAGGUAAGAGUGGGGCAGAGGGCCAAGCCACCAAUGGGGAUGAGUCUGAGGUGGAAGAUCUCUCUGUUACGGCUGUUGCUUUGAGUGACAGCUCACCUCCACCAGAGGCCCUGAAUGCAGACCAAAGCAGUGAUACGGUUAUGCAAGUUGACUUCAUGGGGGACAGUGUUCAGAGUUGGACGGCGGAGUGCCCAAUCAUACCCGCUCUAGCCCCCACCCCCAAACAGCACCAUGGUUUUGACUUUGAGCAUUCGGCCCGUGAGGAGAGGAUCAACCGUAUCAGGGCCAAACUGAGAGAGAGAGAGGCUGCCCUCAACAACCUGCGCUCUCCAAGUUGACUGUCUCCAAAGUGGGAAACAAUUAUUUCUAAGGGCCCUCACAGAUGUUGAAUGCCAUGAACGAUUAUUCCACACACUUUCAUUUCUAAGCGCUGCUAGAACAUCCAUUCUGUAACUGGUAAAGUAUUAUUAUUAUUAGACAUUUUUUUCGAACCCAUAAACUUCUCCACUCCUUAUCUUCCAAGACCUGUGAUCCAUCAUCUUAUGAUGGGCAAAAAUAUUUUACGUUAGAAGUAACUCAAAUCUAAAUUAUAUAAUUUUAUUCGAAAAUUCAGAAGGACUUUUUACUUUUCGUUUGAUUAUAUCUGAUGUGAAAGCAGCGUUUGUUUGAUCAAGCUUGCCCAGCUAUCAAAUUUGAAGAUUAGUUAUUAGAGUUGCAGUUAUUCUUUUAGGGCCCAAUUCAGACUUUUUUAUACACGUUUUGAUUUACGCACUUCUCCGUUGCUGGUAUUCAGAAUUGAAGGGCUUUGCAGGUGUGGCUCCCUUGCACUCACUGAAUAAAUAUAAUUAAAAUACUGAAAACCCUCCCACUUGCUGGCCAACAGAUUUUCUUGUUGAGGAUUCAUUUAAAUACGGUGUACCCUUUUAAAGCUACAAUAUGUAAAUUUUUGGGGCGACCAGACCAAAUUCACAUAGAAAUGUGUUUUAUAGAUCUGUCAUUCUCAUUGAAAGUAGUUCUAAGAAGCAGUUCUAUGUGUGCCAUUUCUAUGCUUCCUGUUCGUAAGUUUAGAUUUUGCGUCUUUCGGUUUUGUACACCAGAUUCAAACAGCUGACAGCUGGUUUAGAUGGUACAAUGAUUCUCUACACCAAACAUUGCUUGUUUUGUCACAAUCUGAAAUAAGGCAAACUUUGAAUUUUAGCAACCAGAAAAUGGCAGAGAGGUUUCUAAAUAUUGCACCUUUAAUUCAAAUUUUCUCGACAUACUCAUUAGAAUAUAUUGAGAGGACGAGUUCAGAAUAUGAAUCAAUGAAAGACACAAAUACUGCGUUGUCUUGGCUGUGUGCUUAGGGUUGUUGUGCUGUUGGAAGGGGAAGGGGUCUGAACAUUCCGAAUGCAAUGUAUAUUGCAUUCAGGGCCUAUUGCUAGUGACCCACUGGAUCAACCACACUUAUGUGACAGAGGAAAGACAUGGUAAACUAACCAUGUAAUGGAAGGAUGCAAAAUGUAGGCUACAAAUUUAAAGAGAACUAACUAAAGUGAUAGUUAUUUAUGUGGGUAUUACUGACGGUGGCUAAUAUUUAAUCCAAUAGAAAUUGUCAAAACAAACUGAAAAGUCAGGGCAUAUAAUUGAAACAUUCUCGAGUGCAUAAAUCAUCUCGGUAGGUUCGGAAUUACUGUCAGUGUGCACAGGUUACCAUAGGCUACAGCCUCGGCUUGGAUCUCCAAAUUUCAGCCCCUCAAAUGAUGAAGCCAUAGGCCUACAAUUACAAUUCUGAAUAACAUCACUGCUGUUUAUACUUCAUUGUGGAAAUACCUGACAAGUUGACAUGCUUUUCAGUUUGCUGAAAUAUGACUGGUUUCACAUUUUGUAUCCAGUGAUCAUAAGGUAAAAUGUAUCUAAAGCAAUUAAAUAAUAUUUACAAUCCCCCUUAUCCAAAUGGAUUACUCAUUUACCUAGCUCUUAUCAAUGUAUAAAUGACCGCGCAUGGAGAUUGGUGUUAUUUUUAUCGGGGGGGGAAUGAUUAGCUUUUCCACUUGGAACUGACAGGUUGCUCGACCAUCACAGUUUC